AACGAACGCUGGCGGCAUGCCUAACACAUGCAAGUCGAACGAGACCUUCGGGUCUAGUGGCGCACGGGUGCGUAACGCGUGGGAAUCUGCCCUUGGGUUCGGAAUAACAGUUGGAAACGACUGCUAAUACCGGAUGAUGACUUCGGUCCAAAGAUUUAUCGCCCAGGGAUGAGCCCGCGUCGGAUUAGCUAGUUGGUGAGGUAAGAGCUCACCAGGGCGACGAUCCGUAGCUGGUCUGAGAGGAUGAUCAGCCACACUGGGACUGGGACACGGCCCAGACUCCUACGGGAGGCAGCAGUGGGGAAUAUUGGACAAUGGGCGAAAGCCUGAUCCAGCAAUGCCGCGUGAGUGAUGAAGGCCUUAGGGUUGUAAAGCUCUUUUACCCGGGAUGAUAAUGACAGUACCGGGAGAAUAAGCCCCGGCUAACUCCGUGCCAGCCGCCGCGGUAA
rnacentral:rRNA from 1 species